CGAUGAACCACUUCGGUGGGGAUUAGUGGCGAACGGGUGAGUAACACGUGGGCAAUCUGCCCUGCACUCUGGGACAAGCCCUGGAAACGGGGUCUAAUACCGGAUACUGAUCCUCGCAGGCAUCUGCGAGGUUCGAAAGCUCCGGCGGUGCAGGAUGAGCCCGCGGCCUAUCAGCUAGUUGGUGAGGUAACGGCUCACCAAGGCGACGACGGGUAGCCGGCCUGAGAGGGCGACCGGCCACACUGGGACUGAGACACGGCCCAGACUCCUACGGGAGGCAGCAGUGGGGAAUAUUGCACAAUGGGCGAAAGCCUGAUGCAGCGACGCCGCGUGAGGGAUGACGGCCUUCGGGUUGUAAACCUCUUUCAGCAGGGAAGAAGCGAAAGUGACGGUACCUGCAGAAGAAGCGCCGGCUAACUACGUGCCAGCAGCCGCGGUAAUACGUAGGGCGCAAGCGUUGUCCGGAAUUAUUGGGCGUAAAGAGCUCGUAGGCGGCUUGUCACGUCGGUUGUGAAAGCCCGGGGCUUAACCCCGGGUCUGCAGUCGAUACGGGCAGGCUAGAGUUCGGUAGGGGAGAUCGGAAUUCCUGGUGUAGCGGUGAAAUGCGCAGAUAUCAGGAGGAACACCGGUGGCGAAGGCGGAUCUCUGGGCCGAUACUGACGCUGAGGAGCGAAAGCGUGGGAGCGAACAGGAUUAGAUACCCUGGUAGUCCACGCCGUAAACGGUGGGCACUAGGUGUGGGCAACAUUCCACGUUGUCCGUGCCGCAGCUAACGCAUUAAGUGCCCCGCCUGGGGAGUAC
rnacentral:rRNA from 1 species